ACAAAUAUUUUCAUUGCAGCGCGUUAAAUGAAAUUACUUACAGCUCUGAAUCUCUCAACUCACUGCACCCUCUUUCGAACACGUCUCUCUCAAACCACCCUCUCUCACACAUCUCUCUCGCAAUCCCUCCGGCACAUCUCUCUCGCUACUUUCUCACGCUCAGGACUCACUCUCACUCACUUCUCAAGCAAUUAAAUUUUCAAUUAGGGAUCUCCAGCAACGAGUUAUAAAGCGGGGCCGUGAUUGUAAAAGGGGUUUCAAGUAUGGGGUUCAAACUACGCUUCUUCUGCUCUUAAUGGGGGCGGUGGGUUCUUCAGCGACUGGGUUUGCACUAAGGUUCUUAAGAUGAUAAUUGGGGCUUCUUCAGAUAUUUGUGUGAUGUUCGUAUGGAAUGUAUAAAUGACUCGUGGUAUUCAAAAUCGUCUUAAGAAUACUCUCUGGACGGUUGCACUUAUGUAUGGGUUCUUUAAACAGGUAACUUCCAAAAGUAUUCUUAUGCUUUCAUCCUAUAUGUACAGUUCCACAAGAGGAUCCACUCUUGAGCAAUUUGUAACUAUGGAAAGCAGGGUUCUAAUAGUCGGUUUUAGGUCGAAUAAUUGCUAAUGCAAGAUGGAUGUUGUGCCACAAUGAUCCUAUUAUGCCCUGUUCCAUUAUACAAUUUUGUAUCUACCGUCUAAAUUGGUUUUUACAGAAAAUUGCCUCUUCCAUGCUUCCAUUGCUGCAUCAUUUUAAUUCUCUUUUCUAGUAAUUUGUCUCAUCAUUUGUAGUAUCAAGUAACCUUCACAUAACAGGAAAGUGCCUCAACUUGAUCCUCAUAGCAAGAUGAUCUCGACAUCACGCAGGAAUCGGGUUUCUGGACCUUUUGCCAUUGACAACUGAAAACAGGAAAGUAGAAAAUUGUUGUUUUCUAUUUACAAAGAGACUUUAUACAUGUGCAAUUGCUCCUCCUUUUUUGAGAAAUUUAGUUAUUUCUUGUUCUUAUAAUUCUAGUGUAUUUUUAUAAUGUUAAAAUGAAAGUAAAACUCGUCCAAUAUUGUGCCAGAAAGAUAGUUCUAGCAGUUCUAUAUGAAGCAUACGAUCAGGUGCAUAUAUAUUUUCUGUAAAUGAUUUUAUCGUCCACUUCAUAAAAGAAAGAAAACAAAUUCUCCCUGAUCUUAAGUGCAAAUAUUCCUAGUAGUAUUAGCUUGCAGAAUGCUCUAAAAAUAUAGGAUUGUCCUGACAUUUGAUACAAAGUUAAAUAAUUUGUUAGUGAUUAAUCUUCUAUGCAUGACACAAUAAUUGGGGAUCUACUUGCUGGAGUUAGAAAUGUUGACAUAAGGGGGAAUACUAUAAUAAUUUUUGGGUUGCCUGCUAUUAUGCCAUGUUCUGCAUUAAUAAUAAGUUGACUAUAUUUUUUAUGAUUUCUUAUAUAAUUGUUAAUUUCAGAAACUGCUGUCAAAUAAAUUGAAAUUCAUUCAAAGAGUUCACAGCUAGAGAGGACAUUGACAUUGCAGUAGUCUUGGUCAGCCAAUACGAAUUCAGAGCAGACUAAUAUUAUGAAGGCAUCAUUUUAGAACGGAGUUCUAAGAACAAAUUGCCUAACUGUUUGGACCACACAAAUAUCACACAAUUUGCAUAUGGCUUGGUUGCUUUUGGUCGUCCGCUCAACACUUUGAGACACGAAAACGAAAAGACAACUACGAGUACAAAUUACCUGAGAAUGCAGUGAUCUUGUCCGUACUUAGCUUUAAUAUGUUGGUUGGUACUUUGCGUUGGUUGGAUUGUUGGUUUAGACUUAAAUUUGGGUAAUUUGUCGUAUAUUAGGAUGGCUUUGCUUUGAGUAGCCUAAUUAUGUUAUUUUGGAUGGUUUUAUGUAUUGGAAUGCUUCACAAGUUUUAAGGGAAAAUAAUAUUUUCAGUACCCA